rnacentral:tRNA from 1 species
GGGUGUAUCUGAGUGGUAGAGUGCACAUCUAGCAUAUGUAAGGCCCUGGAUUCAAUCCCCAGCACCC